rnacentral:lncRNA from 1 species
UGGGUUUUUACCAUGUUGGUUAGGCUGGUCUUGAACUCCUGACCUCAAGCAAUCCUCCCGCCUCAGCCUCCUAAAGUGCUGGGAUUACAGGUGUGAGCCACUGUGCCCGGCCCCAGUACAUAGAUUCUGACAACACACACUACUUCUUGUGGUUAUUACCUCUGUCUUACUUCAGUGUUCGUGUUUAGAUUUUUCCUCUCCCUCUAAUAUGUUUUAUUGAAAGUAACUUCUUUUAUUAAAUGACACCUCUGAAAUAUGUAGUGCAGUUCCUGUUCUCCUGGCUGGACCCUGACUGAUGCCAUGGGGAAAGCCCUCGGGCUCGUGGACCUUAAAUUCCAGGUCCUGUUGUGCCCAACUCAUGAUUUAUCCAGGUCACACCAGUCUGGUCUGUCACAGUAAGAGGGCCACCAGGAAACACACCUUCAGGAAGCACCUUUUCUGUUCUAUCCCAAAGGGCACCAUCACAUACACUAUAAUAUGAAUCAUGACCCCCGGAGUUGUGUGGAGUUUCUGCAUCUCUCCCUCCCCACUGUGGCUACCCUCAUCCAGCAACCAUCCUGUCUCUCACCGGUAUUACCGCAGCUGAGACCCAGGUCUUAAGGAAGCUGAGACCCAGGCCAGCAGGGGCCUCACAGGUAGAAUGAAGCUUGGAAAAAGAGGAGGGUGUAAGACUCUGGAUGAAGCUGAGAGAUCCUUCCAUGCUUGGCUGAGAGACUACACAGACAUGAGCUUCAGGAGACUCCAAAGCCUCGGAUCCCCUUCUAAACUAGCACUGAAUUCUGAUUGGCUGUCUUUGCCUGCCUCAGUUUGUUCCUUUUACUGAUUGGCUAGGUUCUUCUGCCCAUGGCAGAGCCCUGCUCCAGCCACCGGAUCCUCCCACCUGCCACAGUGUCACCUGGGAUUGGCUGGGCUCUGAAAGGCCAGGCUGGCUUGACUCUUGCCAUCAUCAGAUUCUUCCUCAUUAAACAAAUGAAUCACAAUCCUAAUUAAUUUGAGCAACAGAAUUUAUGUAACUACUCCCAGCAGGAUGUCUGCUCUCAGUCAGCAGAGAGAUUACUUCCUCUCUCUGGGAAAUUCCAGCCUUGCUGGUCAAUAAGCCUUAAUGAUGACUGAAAUCUCCCAUCUGUCUCUGCUCAGGGCAGGUAACCCCUACUAAGCAGACACCCAGUUGGCUCGAGGCAGUACCCCGGGCACCGGCAGGACAAGGACAACGAUCUCCCAGCCUAGAUGUGUCCUGAGCCACAUGGAGCACACAGAUUACAGGAUCUGACUCCCAUUUGGGCCUUCCACCUCCGCUGGCCUAAGCAGUCAAGUGUCAGAGAGCACUGGACCUAACAGCUCCCUCACCAGAGCAGCUGUGAUUCCUUCUUCAUUUCCAGCAGGGAAGACCCAACAACUUUUAUAAUAUGGGAUUUCUUUUAUUCUCAUGAUAAUAAUGUUCAUUGUGGAAAAUAAAAAAAAAUGAUAAAAUAAAAAUCAGCCAGAAUUCCAACUUCUGGAGAUUUUGGUGUCUUUCUGCAAAGUUCCUAUGCACAUAGAUACUUUAUAAAAUUAUGAACAUACUGUACAUACAGUUUUGGAAUAUGCCUUUUUCCUUCUGUCAUGAAAAAGUCUUCAAAUGCCUUUUAACAGCUACACAAUAGUUCACUACAUGAACCAACUCAAAUGUAACUAUUUUUGGCCUUUUGUUAUAAAUAACACAAGAACCCUCAGUCUUUGUUACAUAAUGUCCUAACAGAGUAGGGGAAAUGCUCCCCAAUCCGGUGCAAUGUCCUGUGCCCAGGGAAACCAAUU